rnacentral:rRNA from 1 species
CCCUCCGAAGUUUCCCUCGGGAUAGCUGGAGUACGCAACGUUACGGAACCUAUUCUUAUCUGUUAAAGCGAAUGGUUAGAGGACUUAGGUUCGAAAUGAUCAUAACCUAUUAUCAAACUUUAAAUAGGUAAGAUUCGUGCAUGAUGCUGUUGCAACGUUGACACCGGGCUGCCCCUUGUCAGGGCGCGCCACGACAAGCGGCGUAGUAGAUAUCUGUGUGCUUAGGCGGCUCAGUUUUGGUAAGAAGAACUGGUGCUGUGGGAUGGACCAAACGUAAUGUUACGGCGCCUAAAUUAAAGACACUUCAUAGAUGCCAUGAAAGGUGUUGAUUGCUACAGACAUGAGGACGGUGGACAUGGAAGUUGUCAUCGGAUAAGGAGUGUGUAACAACUCAUCUCCCGAAGUAGUUAGCCCUUAAAAUGGAUGGCGCUUAAGCCGUUUGCCUAUACAUUACCGCUAGCGUACAAGCGGGGCAGCUUGCACACACGUCUGCCCUUUGAGACGCCUGCAAAUAUGAGAG